UAUUCUAUAAAGUGCCGUAUAAGCUGAUAUGCAAGAUGGAUCGCUUUUACUUUUAACUGUGACAAAAUUAUUGCCAAACGCCGAAAGCGACCGCGUUACGGAUGGAAUAAGUACUAGCAAUAAAUUCUACACAGAUCCUGUAUUCCUGCCAUAAAAGAGAGAGAAUUACAUACGUCAAUAAAAACAUCGCAUCCUGAUAAUGAAACUGU
rnacentral:lncRNA from 1 species